rnacentral:rRNA from 1 species
GAUGAACGCUAGCGGCAGGCCUAAUACAUGCAAGUCGGACGGGAUUCAGGAGCUUGCUUCUGAUGAGAGUGGCGCACGGGUGCGUAACACGUAUGUAACCUACCUUUAUCAGGGGGAUAGCCUCUCGAAAGAGAGAUUAAGCCCGCAUAAAAUCACAGCACAGCAUUGUGUAAUGAUCAAAUAUUUAUAGGAUAAAGAUGGGCAUGCGGAACAUUAGCUAGAUGGCGGGGUAACGGCCCACCAUGGCGACGAUGUUUAGGGGAUCUGAGAGGAUGGCCCCCCACACUGGUACUGAGACACGGACCAGACUCCUACGGGAGGCAGCAGUAAGGAAUAGUGGGCAAUGGGCGGAAACCUGAACCAGCCAUGCCGCGUGCAGGAAGACGGCCCUACGGGUUGUAAACUGCUUUUAUACGGGAAUAAACCCAGAUACGUGUAUCUGGCUGAAUGUACUGUAAGAAUAAGGAACGGCUAACUCCGUG